UACGUAGGGUGCAAGCGUUUGUCCGGAAUUAUUGGGCGUAAAGGGCUCGUAGGCGGUCCAUCGCGUCGGGAGUGAAAAGCUGGGGCUCAACCCCAGUCCUGCUUUCGAUACGGGUGGACUAGAGGUAGGCAGGGGAGAACGGAAUUCCUGGUGUAGCGGUGAAAUGCGCAGAUAUCAGGAGGAACACCGGUGGCGAAGGCGGGUCUCUGGGCAAUUCCUGACGUGAGGCGCGAAAAGCGUGGGGGAGCAAACAGG
rnacentral:rRNA from 1 species